rnacentral:rRNA from 1 species
UGGGGAAUAUUGCACAAUGGGCGCAAGCCUGAUGCAGCCAUGCCGCGUGUAUGAAGAAGGCCUUCGGGUUGUAAAGUACUUUCAGCGGGGAGGAAGGGAGUAAAGUUAAUACCUUUACUCAUUGACGUUACCCGCAGAAGAAGCACCGGCUAACUCCGUGCCAGCAGCCGCGGUAAUACGGAGGGUGCAAGCGUUAAUCGGAAUUACUGGGCGUAAAGCGCACGCAGGCGGUUUGUUAAGUCAGAUGUGAAAUCCCCGGGCUCAACCUGGGAACUGCAUCUGAUACUGGCAAGCUUGAGUCUCGUAGAGGGGGGUAGAAUUCCAGGUGUAGCGGUGAAAUGCGUAGAGAUCUGGAGGAAUACCGGUGGCGAAGGCGGCCCCCUGGACGAAGACUGACGCUCAGGUGCGAAAGCGUGGGGAGCGAACA